rnacentral:rRNA from 1 species
UACGUAGGGCGCAAGCGUUGUCCGGAAUUAUUGGGCGUAAAGGGCUCGUAGGCGGUUUUGUCGCGUCGGGAGUGAAAAUCCACUGGCUUAACUGGUGGCUUGCUUUUCGAUACGGGCAGACUGGAGGUAUGCAGGGGGAGAACGGAAUUCCUGGUGUAGCGGUGAAAUGCGCAGAUAUCAGGAGGAACACCGAUGGCGAAAGGCAGGGUCUCUGGGCCGAUACUGACGCUGAGGA